rnacentral:rRNA from 1 species
UCGGGUUGUAAAGCACUUUUGUCCGGGAAGAAAUCCCCUGCCCUAAUACGGCGGGGGGAUGACGGUACCGGAAGAAUAAGCACCGGCUAACUACGUGCCAGCAGCGCGGUAAUCGUAGUGUGCGAGCGUUAAUCGGAAUUACUGGGCGUAAAGCGUGCGCAGGCGGUUUUGUAAGACCGAUGUGAAAUCCCCGGGCUUAACCUGGGAACUGCAUUGGUGACUGCAAGGCUUGAGUAUGGCAGAGGGGGGUAGAAUUCCACGUGUAGCAGUGAAAUGCGUAGAGAUGUGGAGGAAUACCGAUGGCGAAGGCAGCCCCCUGGGUCAAUACUGACGCUCAUGCACGAAAGCGUGGGGAGCAAACAGGAUUAGAUACCCUGGUAGUCCACGCCCUAAACGAUGUCAACUGGUUGUCGGGUCUUCAUUGACUUGGUAACGUAGCUAACGCGUGAAGUUGACCGCCUGGGGAGUACGGUCGCAAGAUUAAAACUCAAAGGAAUUGACGGGGACCCGCACAAGCGGUGGAUGGAUGUGGAUUAAUUCGAUGCAACGCGAAAAACCUUACCUACCCUUGACAUGUACGGAAGUCCGCUG